rnacentral:rRNA from 1 species
GAGUUUGAUCCUGGCUCAGGACGAACGCUGGCGGCGUGCCUAAUACAUGCAAGUCGAGCGGACAGAAGGGAGCUUGCUCCCGGAUGUGAGCGGCGGGUGAGUAACACGUGGGUAACCUGCCUGUAAGACUGGGAUAACUCCGGGAAACCGGAGCUAAUACCGGAUAGUUCCUUGAACCGCAUGGUUCAAGGAUGAAAGACGGUUUCGGCUGUCACUUACAGAUGGACCCGCGGCGCAUUAGCUAGUUGGUGGGGUAAUGGCUCACCAAGGCGACGAUGCGUAGCCGACCUGAGAGGGUGAUCGGCCACACUGGGACUGAGACACGGCCCAGACUCCUACGGGAGGCAGCAGUAGGGAAUCUUCCGCAAUGGACGAAAGUCUGACGGAGCAACGCCGCGUGAGUGAUGAAGGUUUUCGGAUCGUAAAGCUCUGUUGUUAGGGAAGAACAAGUGCGAGAGUAACUGCUCGCACCUUGACGGUACCUAACCAGAAAGCCACGGCUAACUACGUGCCAGCAGCCGCGGUAAUACGUAGGUGGCAAGCAUUGUCCGGAAUUAUUGGGCGUAAAGGGCUCGCAGGCGGUUUCCUAAGUCUGAUGUGAAAGCCCCCGGCUCAACCGGGGAGGGUCAUUGGAAACUGGGAAACUUGAGUGCAGAAGAGGAGAGUGGAAUUCCACGUGUAGCGGUGAAAUGCGUAGAGAUGUGGAGGAACACCAGUGGCGAAGGCGACUCUCUGGUCUGUAACUGACGCUGAGGAGCGAAAGCGUGGGGAGCGAACAGGAUUAGAUACCCUGGUAGUCCAGCCGUAAACGAUGAGUGCUAAGUGUUAGGGGGUUUCCGCCCCUUAGUGCUGCAGCUAACGCAUUAAGCACUCCGCCUGGGGAGUACGGUCGCAAGACUGAAACUCAAAGGAAUUGACGGGGGCCCGCACAAGCGGUGGAGCAUGUGGUUUAAUUCGAAGCAACGCGAAGAACCUUACCAGGUCUUGACAUCCUCUGACAACCCUAGAGAUAGGGCUUUCCCUUCGGGGACAGAGUGACAGGUGGUGCAUGGUUGUCGUCAGCUCGUGUCGUGAGAUGUUGGGUUAAGUCCCGCAACGAGCGCAACCCUUGAUCUUAGUUGCCAGCAUUCAGUUGGGCACUCUAAGGUGACUGCCGGUGACAAACCGGAGGAAGGUGGGGAUGACGUCAAAUCAUCAUGCCCCUUAUGACCUGGGCUACACACGUGCUACAAUGGACAGAACAAAGGGCUGCAAGACCGCAAGGUUUAGCCAAUCCCAUAAAUCUGUUCUCAGUUCGGAUCGCAGUCUGCAACUCGACUGCGUGAAGCUGGAAUCGCUAGUAAUCGCGGAUCAGCAUGGCGCGGUGAAUACGUUCCCGGGCCUUGUACACACCGCCCGUCACACCACGAGAGUUUGCAACACGCGCAGUCGGUGAGGUCACCUUUAUGGAGCCAGCCGCCGAAGGUGGGGCAGAUGAUUGGGGUGAAGUCGUAACAAGGUAGCCG